rnacentral:lncRNA from 12 species
CCUGGGCGUUCCAGAAGAUUCAGUGGAGAUUCAAUAAAAGGAAAUACCAGCUGGUGCCUAGAAGUGGAGG